rnacentral:rRNA from 1 species
AACGAACGCUGGCGGCAGGCCUAACACAUGCAAGUCGAGCGCCCCGCAAGGGGAGCGGCGGACGGGUGAGUAACGCGUGGGAAUAUGCCCUUUGCUACGGAAUAGUCUCGGGAAACUGGGGGUAAUACCGUAUACGCCCUUUGGGGGAAAGAUUUAUCGGCGAAGGAUUAGCCCGCGUUGGAUUAGGUAGUUGGUGGGGUAAUGGCCUACCAAGCCGACGAUCCAUAGCUGGUUUGAGAGGAUGAUCAGCCACACUGGGACUGAGACACGGCCCAGACUCCUACGGGAGGCAGCAGUGGGGAAUCUUAGACAAUGGGGGCAACCCUGAUCUAGCCAUGCCGCGUGAGUGAUGGAGGCCUUAGGGUUGUAAAGCUCUUUCAGCUGGGAAGAUAAUGACGGUACCAGCAGAAGAAGCCCCGGCUAACUCCGU